GGACUAUAUUCGGUUUUGACUAUCAUCAAGUGCGUGUUUUCAAACUUUCUCUCAGUGCGUGGUGGCAGGUGCCUAUAAGCAGCCAUUCGCGUAGCCUCCACUACCCCACCCCCAGUGAAGUGUAGCUCGAUCCUCUCCGUGCGCUCGCUGUCGGAUAAUCGAUCAACCGUCUCUACCAUAGAUGCAGGCAGAAGGACUGGCAAAACAGAACAUUCCGCCGAGUGCAAUCUCUAACGUUUGACGUUUUGCGCCCCCCCCCCCCUCAUUAAUUAAACAAACCAAAUGGCUUUUGCAAACCAUGCACAUUUGAUUCCCGAACUGAAGCUCGAAGAGGCUGAGGGGGAGUGUUUGACGAGGAGCAUCAGUCUGGGCCAAUUGCAGCGUUUACAUCAACGAAGCAAGCCGCCUUCACCGACUGGGUCUAAAUCGAGAGGACACAGAUGGACAAUGACCCAAAACAUACUGCAAAAGCAACCCAGGAGUUUUUUAAGGCAAAGAAGUGGAAUAUUCUGCAAUGGCAGAGUCAAUCACCUGGGCUUAACCCGAUCAAGCAUGCUGAAGACAAAACUUAAGGCAUAAAGACCCACGAACAAACAACAACUAAAGACAGCUGCAGUAAAGGCCUGUCAAAGCAUCACAAAGGAGGAAACCCAGC
ensembl:lncRNA